CAUAGAAAUGUAAGAAAUGAAGAUAUGCUUCAGCGAAUAAGGUGCAACAUUCAGAAGCUGGACGAAGAUGCGGUCAAACAAGCAUUGAAGUUCUACAUCGGUUCCUUUAAUUACGGCUCGCGGAACAACAAUGUGUACAUCACGCAAACCAGCAGUCUCUAAAACAAUGCAUUAAUUGUAUAUAUUAUCCGAUAAAAUUGUAAAGGCAUUUGCAAACGUUGUGAAUGCCGGAUUCAAAUUAAUAAAACUUACGUUCUUAGAAUAGUUUACAAA